rfam:Ovis aries breed Texel chromosome 10, whole genome shotgun sequence.
UCCCUGGUGGUCCAGUGGUUAGGACUCUGCUCUUCCACUGCAGGGGGCCCAGAUUCCAUCCCUGGUCAGGGAA